CCAUGGAGGUGAAAGGGUAUUUUGCUGGACAGGUUUUUAGUGCAGAUGAUGAUAGACAGUGCCCUAUCGUGGGGAGAAAAGAUAUCUAUUAGAAAGGCAGUGAAGGGAACACCCAGAUUCUAGGCAGGACAGUGCAGGCUCAUCAGACUGUUUUGUGCCCCUAUGGUCAGGUUUAAGGUCAGGACCAUGCUUACCAAUUGAGCUGCUAACCCCUGAGCCUCAAAGAAGACAGAAAGGCAGCCGCUGCGGGUCUUCUGGGUGCAUGGGAAGGUCUGGACAGCAAGAACUGCAUUCUGGGUUGGCUCCACUGGAAACUGCUUUGCGAUAGGAGAUAACGGACAGAUGAUGCAGCUUGUAAACAGAUGAGACAGAGACAGGCCACAACACUGAAGCUUCACCCAGUGCUAUGGCAGCUGGGGACUUGAACCCAGGUCACACCUGUGACAAAGCAUGCACCUGACCAGAUCCGUUCCAACUGCAGGAUUAUCUAAUUCUCUGAUUAAUGAGUCGCCUUCAAGAUUCCUGCUUUACCAGCUUCACCAGGAAAUGAACUCACUGAUGCUGAGACCAGGUCAGCACAAAGGAGGCUGAGGGACCUGGGUUUUACGUUUAUGGCUGAGUCUGGUUUUCUCGAGUUUCAGAUAACUGCUCAGCUAUGGCUUAAGGUAGUACUGGGGAUUGAAACUGGACUUCUGGGUCUCAGGUAUGAGAGUCUAUUGCAUAACCACUAUGCUAUCCCCUCAGCCCUCUAGUUUGAUCUUUCGGGUGAUGGUGUAAGGUCUCUUUCUAAUUUUUCUUUCCAGUCUGUUGGAGAGUUUCCCACUGUAGUCACUUCCUUUCUUCCAGGUGAACUUAAAGAUUUCCUCAUGGAGUCUAAAAAGACAAUUUUAGGAAGCCAGGACUUCUACUGGAUUCCACUGAACCAAUGCUUAGAUCUAACAGGAAUUGAGAGAGAGAGAGAGAGAGAGAGAAAAUUGCUGCGCAGAAAUACCCUGUCUGUCAUUAUGUGCAAACACUUCUUUGCAAUAAUGCUCUCUGACCUUCAUCAUAUUAUGUCUCUGAACUCAGAAGCAGGAAUUUCUAUUUUAAUGAAAUAACUCAAGACACACUCAGUGCCCUUGGAAAUAAUAGCCCUUAGCUCCAUGGGAAUUCCUGGCUGGCUUCUGUGACUCUUCUUUGAAGGUAUAUAUUUUGCCCUAGAUUAUGGAUAUGUGUGAACAUAUGCUCUAUGUCAGGGGACCUGGUCUAUGUCUAGGUUUUGGGACUUUGUUAGGAAGUGAACCACCUGGGAUGGAAUUAGAGAAUACUAUGAAAGGAAAGGUCUCACCUGAGUAAUGAGGCUGAAGAGUUGUCAUUCCACACCUGAAGUCUCUGGACACAGUCUGAAGUGAAGCAUGCUGGAGUGGCACUCGUUGCAAGGUGGCUAUACAUAAACCAAACAAAGUAAACUUCAAGUGACACAUUAUUACCAAAGUAAGGACAUUAAAUAUUGAUGAAAAUGCUAAUUCACCAGAAAAAAAAGGAUGAUAUUAGGGUCAGUAAAAUACCUCACUCCAGAUAGUGUGCCUAUUUUGUUACCUAUGGCCCAGCUUCAAUCCCUACCUCUCUCUACGCCUGUCUCUGUCUCUCAGUCACACUCUCACUCUUUCUAUCUGGAAAAAGUUAAUUAGCCUGGAAUGGUGAAUAGUUGGUAAUGGGAUGGGAGGGGGAGGAAUUCCACAGAGGAAGAGUAGUGUUGUGUGUGAUUUUAGAUUAUAGAUGUUAUUUGGUAUGAUUUGGUUGGUUGUCCUUAGUUCCAGAAAUGCACACUUCCCCAUCUGUGGAAGUGUACAUGUCACAAUACCCAAGGAUCCAGGUUCUAGUCCCCAGUCCCCACCUGUAGUGGGGGAGGGGAGAAAGCUUCACAAUUAAUAAAGCAGUGCUGCAGUUGUCUCUCUCCCUCUCUCCCUCUCUGUCUUCCCCUCUCCUCGCAAUUUAUCACUGACUUUGUAAAUAGAUAAUACUUUUUAAAACAUUGAGUUAUAGUUACUGUUUGCUUUAUGCCACUUCAGCUUAUGCAAGUUACCCUAGGAAAGUUCUACUUUGGAAUGGCAGGGGAAAUCUGUAGCUAAAGAGAGAGAGAGAGAGAGAGAGAGAGAGAGAGAAGUGAUCAGUGGCUGAGAGUUUUAGUUUGGAGACCCCAAGAAGACCAGAUUUCAACUCAUGAUACAAUCAAUGCUGGCUUCAAAGCUCCCCUUAGUGUUAAAACAUCUGUUACUCUAAAUGUUCCCUGGCCCACAGGGCCAACACUUUGCAGGGUAUUUCUACACGAGUGUCAUGUUCCACAUGUUCAAAACUGAACUCUUCACCCUUGCCUGGAAACUUGCAUUGCCCCCUGAGGUUCAAAUUCCAAACCACCAAGGCCUCUCUGGUUCCUCUCUUCUCUUUGACACCCCUUCCCUCACCCCACGUCAAACUGGGGGUGGUGCCCACUGCAUCACUCCCAGAUGUCUCUUUUCUCUUAGGAACCCCCCUUCUCAGACCUUUGCACACAGAUAGUGACAGAAACUCUUGAGUUGACUGCUUUCUGUGAGAAUCUUAAGUGUUGAGAAAAAUCAAGAUAUGGAUGCUGGUCCUGCUGAUUGCCGGCAAGUAGGACUCAGGCAGGCCUACCAGUGCCUGAUUUCACUCAUCUGUAAAACUGGGCUGUCCAUGGUGUACUGCACUAAAGUAAAAAACUGAAAUCAGGCGGUGGUGCAGCAGGUUAUGUGCACAUGGCACAAAGUGCAAGGACCGGCAUAAGGAUCCUGGUGUGAGCCCUGGCUCCCCAUUUGCAGGGGAGUCGCUUCACAAGUGGUGAAGCAGGUCUGCCGGUGUCUAUCUUUAUCUCCCCCUCUCUGUCUACCCUCUCGGUUUCUCUCCAUCCUGUCCAACAACAACACCAGUAGCAACAAUAACAGUAAUGACAACAACAAGGGCAACAAAAUGGGACAAAAAAUGGCCUCCAGGAGAAAUGGAUUUGUAGUGCAGGCACUGAGCCCCAGCAAUAACCCUGGAGACAAAAAAGAAAGAAAGAAAGAAAGAAAGAAAGAGAAAAGAAAAGAAAAGAAAAGAAAAGAAAAGAAAAGAAAAGAAAGGAAGAGAAAAAGAAAAUAGAAAAAGAAAAACUCGUGGUCCAGGAGGUGGUGCAGUGAUAAGGCUUUGGACUCUCAAGCAUGAGGUCCUGAGUUCGAUCCCUGGCAGCACAUGUGCCAGAGUGAUGUCUGGUCCUUUCUCUCUCCUCCUAUCUUUCUCAUUAAUAAAUAAAUAAAUCUUAAAAAAAAAAAAGAGAAAAACUCUGGGGUCGGGGGGGAGGUUCAGUUUCUGGAACAUAAAGUCAGAGGACCUGGGGAGGGUUGUAUUGUUCUGUGGGAAAUGUUAUGCAUGUACAAACUAUUGUAUUUACUGUCGACUGUAAAACAUUAAUCCCCCAAUAAUGAAAUAAUAAAAAAAAGCAACUGGACUGUCCUAGUUCCUUCCUUGUGGCUUGAGAUUAAGAUGGGUGACAUGAAUUAAUUCAUACAAAGAAAUGUUAUUUGCUUGAAUAGAGCAGACCUUUUUCUAAAAUUUAUUUAUUGGGGAAUUAAUGUUUUACAUUUGACAGUAUAGAGCAGAUCUUUUAUACAGAUUGAACGUUCUCCUUAGACUGUGACCUGAGUUAUCUUUCUGUACCAUGUUUUUUUUUUUUUUUUAGGUUCAUGUAUAGUUUUUUUUGCCUCCAGGGUUAUUGCUGGGGCUCAGUGCCUGCACCAUGAAUCCACUGCUCCUGGAGGCCAUUUAUUCCCCCUUGUGUUGCCCUUGUUGUUGUAGCCUUGUUGUGGUUAUUAUUAUUGAUGUAAUUCAUUGUUGGAUAGGACAGAGAGAAAUGGAG